rnacentral:rRNA from 1 species
UUGAACGCUGGCGGCAGGCCUCACACCUGCAAGUCGAGCGGAUGAAGGGAGCUUGCUCCUGGAUUCAGCGGCGGACGGGUGAGUAAUGCCUAGGAAUCUGCCUGGUAGUGGGGGAUAACGUCCGGAAACGGGCGCUAAUACCGCAUACGUCCUGAGGGAGAAAGUGGGGGAUCUUCGGACCUCACGCUAUCAGAUGAGCCUAGGUCGGAUUAGCUAGUUGGUGGGGUAAAGGCCUACCAAGGCGACGAUCCGUAACUGGUCUGAGAGGAUGAUCAGUCACACUGGAACUGAGACACGGUCCAGACUCCUACGGGAGGCAGCAGUGGGGAAUAUUGGACAAUGGGCGAAAGCCUGAUCCAGCCAUGCCGCGUGUGCGAAGAAGGUCUUCGGAUUGUAAAGCACUUUAAGUUGGGAGGAAGGGCAGUAAGUUAAUACCUUGCUGUUUUGACGUUACCAACAGAAUAAGCACCGGCUAACUUCGUG